GCCGGCGUAGCUCAGUUGGCAGAGCAGCGGUUUCGUAAACCGCAGGUCGGUGGUUCGAUUCCACUCGCCGGCUCCA
rnacentral:tRNA from 11 species